GAUAACCUGUUGAGGUUUGACUUGUCAAACCUCGCUUUGGUGAAAGUGGCGAACGGGUGAGUAAUACGUGGGUAAUCUACCUUCGGAUGGGGGAUAGCACUAGGAAACUAGUGGUAAUACCGCAUAUUAUCAUCUCAUCAUAAGAUGAGAUGAUGAAAGGCGCCCUCUGCAUAUGGUGCCGUCUGAGGAUGAGCCCGCGCGCUAUUAGCUUGUUGGUAGGGUAAAGGCCUACCAAGGCAACGAUGGCUAGCCGGCCUGAGAGGGUGUACGGUCACAUUGGGACUGAGAUACGGCCCAGACUCCUACGGGAGGCAGCAGCUAAGAAUAUUCCGCAAUGGGCGAAAGCCUGACGGAGCGACGCCGCGUGGACGAUGAAGGCCUUCGGGUUGUAAAGUCCUUUUCUCAGGGAAGAAUAACAUCGUGAGUAACUGCACGGUGGAUGACGGUACCUGAGGAAUAAGCCCCGGCUAAUUACGUGCCAGCAGCCGCGGUAAUACGUAUGGGGCAAGCGUUGUUCGGAUUCACUGGGCGUAAAGGGCUUGUAGGUGGUGAGAUAAGUCGGAUGUGAAAUCUCCGGGCUCAACCCGGAAACUGCGUUCGAAACUGUCUUGCUAGAGUACCGGAGAGGGAGACGGAAUUCCUGGUGUAGGGGUGAAAUCUGUAGAUAUCAGGAAGAACACCGGUGGCGAAAGCGGUCUCCUGGCCGGAUACUGACACUGAGGAGCGAAAGCUAGGGGAGC
rnacentral:rRNA from 1 species